UACGUAGGUGGCGAGCGUUGUCCGGAAUUACUGGGCGUAAAGGGUGCGUAGGCGGAUAUUUAAGUGGGAUGUGAAAUACCUGAGCUCAACUCGGGUGCUGCAUUCCAAACUGGAUAUCUAGAGUGCAGGAGAGGAGAAUGGAAUUCCUAGUGUAGCGGUGAAAUGCGUAGAUAUCAGGAGGAACACCGGUGGUGUAGACGGCUCACUGGACCAUAACUGACGCUGAGACACGAAAGCGUGGGUAGCAAACAGG
rnacentral:rRNA from 1 species